GACGAACGCUGGCGGCGUGCUUAACACAUGCAAGUCGAACGGAAAGGCCCUGCUUUUGUGGGGUGCUCGAGUGGCGAACGGGUGAGUAACACGUGAGUAACCUGCUCUUGACUUUGGGAUAAUUUCAGGAAACUGGGGCUAAUACCGGAUAGGAGCUCCUGCUGCAUGGUGGGGGUUGGAAAGUUUCGGCGGUUGGGGAUGGACUCGCGGCUUAUCAGCUUGUUGGUGGGGUAGUGGCUUACCAAGGCUUUGACGGGUAGCCGGCCUGGGAGGGUGACCGGCCACAUUGGGACUAAGAUACGGCCCAGACUCCUACGGGAAGCAGAAGUGGCGAAUAGUGCACAAUGGGCGGAAGCCUGAGGCAGCAACGCCGCGUGCUGGAGGACGGCCUUCGUGUUGGAAACCGCUUUCGCCUGUGACGAAGCGUGAGUGACGGUAAUGGGUAAAGAAGCACCGGCUAACUACGUG
rnacentral:rRNA from 1 species